UACGUAGGGUGCAAGCGUUAAUCGGAAUUACUGGGCGUAAAGCGUGCGCAGGCGGCUUUGCAAGACAGAUGUGGAAAUCCCCGGGCUCAACCUGGGAACUGCAUUUGUGACUGCAUGGCUAGAGUGCGGCAGAGGGGGGAUGGAAUUCCGCGUGUAGCAGUGAAAUGCAUAGAUAUGCGGAGGAACACCGAUGGCGAAGGCAAUCCCCUGGGCCUGCA
rnacentral:rRNA from 1 species